rnacentral:rRNA from 1 species
AGAGUUUGAUCAUGGCUCAGGAUGAACGCUAGCGGCGUGCUUAAUGCAUGCAAGUCGAACGAUAAACCCUUCGGGGUCGAAAAGUGGCGAACGGGUGAGUAAUGCGUCGGUGACCUGCCUUGUAGUGGGGGACAACCGCUGGAAACGGUGGCUAAUACCCCAGAUGCCAUUGUGUUUGGAAAACAAUGUCUAAAGCUACGGUGCUACAAGAGGGGCCAACGUCCCAUCAGCUAGUUGGUGAGGUAACGGCUCACCAAGGCAAAGACGGGUAGGGGGCGUGAGAGCGUGACCCCCCACACUGGUACUGACACACGGACCAGAUACCUACGGGUAGCAGCAGCAAGGAAUAUUGCGCAAUGGACGAAAGUCUGACGCAGCAACGCCGCGUGGAGGAUGAAGGCCUUCGGGUUGUAAACUCCUUUUCUGAGGGAAUAGAAAGGAAGGUACCUCAGGAAUAAGCUCCGGCUAACUACGUG